GACAAAAGAACCAGGAUGGGAGAUGGAGACGCCAGGGCCACAGCUGACAAGCCUAUGGCUGUAGAAACACCUAACUCAAAAUUUGGGGUCCAAAGGCAGAGGGCGCAAAGUCCAGAGAGGAGAAGGAUGUUGCAAGGUGGUUGGCAACCACCAUGGCCAGCAGAAUAACAAUCUCCAGUCCAUGGGACUUAGCAGCCAGUGUUAACUCUCAAACUUUGAGACAAGCGGUGGUGGCACAUGCCUUUAAUCCAUCCCAGCACUCAGGAGGCAGAGGCAGGCAGUUCACAGCCAACCUGUUAUGCCCAAAUCCACAAUGCCCAGCAAAAGCCAACAAGGAAACCAAGAGUCCCCACCUUUUGUGAGAACUGCCAAGUUGCCACCGAGGAGCUGCUCAGAACUUUGGGAGACCUAGGGUAGCGUGUGUCCAUGAAGGAAGCUCAGCUCUGCCAGACUGAGGUAACUUAUCUGGGGUACACACUCAAGGGGGGCGAGAGAUGGCUAUCCACAGCAAGACAAGAAACCAGCCUGAGGAUCCCCAGACCCAGCAACUGUGGAGAGAUCCACACCUGGACCAACCUCCCCAUGAGUGCGCGGACAUCCCGAGUCACCUCCGUGGGAUCAGACGUCCCUCUAAUGAGGAAUGAGGUAACUUGGUGUACCGACGGCAGUACCUUCAUCAGGGAUGGUACGCAGGGGCAGCAGUCACCACUGAGGACAGGGUUAUAUGGGAAGAGAUGUUGCCUCUUGGGACAUCAGCUCAGAGGGCUGAACUGAUAGCUUUAACUAAGGCUGUGCAGCUGGGAAGGAUAAGACACUUAACGUCUAUACGGAUAGCCGAUACACGCUUGCUAUGUGUCAAUGGCGCCAUCUACAGGGAAAAAAGGGUUAUUAACUGCAGAAGGAAAGACUAUAAACAAACAGAUUUUAUGUUUCUUAUAUUUUUGGUUGUGAGCCUAGCCUUUAACUGCUGAGCCAUCCCCCCAGGCCCAGAUUUUAGAUCUCUUAUAGGUCAUAUGACUGCCCAGGGAGAUAUCUGUUAUGCACUGCCCAGGACACCAGAAAGGAGAUGACCCCAUUGUAGCGCCUGCACUACGGGACUGGAUGUGAGCCGGGAAAGGGGCUGGAGACUUAAACACACACAGACAGAGACACGGGGACACAGGGGUCAUUCUUGAAACAAGAAUGCCCCCUUUAUUGUGUUUGGGGCAGCUUAUAUAGUGCCCUGGCCACUCCCCAGCUCUCGGGAUCUUUCAGCUGCAGGCCCACCAGAAAUCACUCCCCUGCCAUCAGGGUCUCUUGCUCAGAGCAGCUGCAGGCUGCUCAUAGCAGAGGAAAACAAGUUUUUUACAGGAAAUUCAGGGCCUGGGGGUCUUACACUGAUCAAGAGCUCUGGGGACCCACGUAUGCACAAACACCCACAAAGAGAAAGGAUGGUUCAAGACACCAGAUGAGCGGAUAACUCACCCAUCAGGUUUGCCACUCAACUAGUCUGGCAGGUAUGUCAGA